rnacentral:rRNA from 1 species
UUCAAGAGAACGUGAAAUCGUUGAAGUGGAACCGGAGAGAGUUGACGUAGUAUGGUGGAUAAGUAUUGCAAGAAUCGCUUCAAACAAUGAAUGUGAUCGAGUAAUAUGUACGUCACCAAAGACUGCGCUGACAGCAUCGACUACACGCUCUGAACUGUGUUGACAUGUUGCCUAUUCUAGUAUAUAGAAUGGUGUCUUGUGUUACGUGGUGAAGUUUGUUGUUAUGUUGUUGAUGUUGAUAAGUAUGAUUAUACACCAAGUAUAAUUAUGUCAGUGUAAAAGUCAACCACCUCUCCGACCCGUCUUGAAACACGGACCGAGGAGUGUAACUUGUACGCGAGUCAUUGGGUGGAAAAACCUUAAGGCGAAACGAAAGUGAAGGCACGGUUAACCGGCUGACAUGGGAAACGUGCGGUAUUGUUAGCGAGACGUUACACCAUGGCCCUGUCUUGUCUGCAUGCAGAUGGGCAGCGGUAGAGCGUACAGGUUGCGACCCGAAAGAUGGUGAACUAUGCCUGAGCAGGACGAAGUCAGAGGAAACUCUGGUGGAAGUCCGUAUCGGUUCUGACGUGCAAAUCGAUCGAUAGACUUGGGUAUAGGGGCGAAAGACUAAU